UACGAAGGGGGCUAGCGUUGUUCGGAAUUACUGGGCGUAAAGCGCGCGUAGGCGGUGAACUUUGUCAGAGGUGAAAUCCCGAGGCUCAACUUCGGAAUUGCCUUUGAAACGGGUUCGCUUGAGUCCGAGAGAGGAUGGCGGAAUUCCUAGUGUAGAGGUGAAAUUCGUAGAUAUUAGGAAGAACACCGGUGGCGAAGGCGGCCAUCUGGCUCGGUACUGACGCUCAGGCGCGAAAGCGUGGGGAGCAAACAGG
rnacentral:rRNA from 1 species